UCUCCGUAGGUGAACCUGCGGAGGGAUCAUUACUGAGUGAGGGUCUCCGGGCCCGACCUCCAACCCUUUUGUGAACCACCUCGUUGCUUCGGGGGCGACCCUGCCGUUCGCGGCGUGGGGCCCCCGGAGCCCAUCAAACACUGCGUUAAUUUGCGUCGGAGUCUUGAUUAAAAUCAAAACAAAACUUUCAACAACGGAUCUCUUGGUUCGGGCAUCGAUGAAGAACGCAGC
rnacentral:misc_RNA from 1 species